GACAGAGGGUGCAAACGUUGUUCGGAAUUACUGGGCGUAAAGCGCGUGUAGGCGGCUAUGUAAGUCGGGCGUGAAAUCCCACGGCUCAACCGUGGAAGUGCACCCGAAACUGCGUAGCUAGAGUCCUGGAGAGGAAGGUGGAAUGCUUGGUGUAGAGGUGAAAUUCGUAGAUAUCAAGCGGAACACCGGUGGCGAAGGCGGCCUUCUGGACAGUGACUGACGCUGAGACGGCGAAAAGCGUGGGGAGCGAACAGGA
rnacentral:rRNA from 1 species